CUCCAUAAUGACUAAAUCUCGCUCAGAUAUGUGAUCAAAUCUCCCACUCUUCAGAAACAAAAUCCGACCUAUGAAGUUGUGCAACAACCUCAUCUCAGCUGAUAGAGAGCUAGAUAUCACAGUUUCGGAGUAAUCAAAAUCAUCUCUCUCAAAGAUCAACUGUAGAGCUCUUAACUUGCUUUCUGGUCUUUCUGGAGUUGCACCUUCGCAGGGAAGAUGAAGCAACUCACUCAAACUUUCUUCCGAGACCCUAACCCUUACUCCUCGGACUUCAGACACAAGCCCUC
rnacentral:lncRNA from 1 species